UACAGAGGUCUCAAGCGUUGUUCGGAUUCAUUGGGCGUAAAGGGUGUGUAGGUGGCGCGCUAAGUCGGGUGUGAAAUUUCGGAGCUUAACUCCGAAACUGCAUUCGAUACUGGCGUGCUUGAGGAUUGUAGAGGAGAGUGGAAUUCACGGUGUAGCAGUGAAAUGCGUAGAUAUCGUGAGGAAGACCAGUUGCGAAGGCGACUCUCUGGGCAAUUCCUGACACUGAGGCACGAAGGCCAGGGGAGCAAACGGG
rnacentral:rRNA from 1 species